UUUCCUCGUCAUCCCCGCGAAGGCGGGGAUCCAGAGCCAAGGCCGACAAAGUUUGUGACCCCGGAUCCCCGCCUUCGCGGGGAUGACGGACAAGA
rnacentral:sRNA from 1 species